CCCUUAGAUGUUCUGGGCUGCACGCGCGCUACACUGUCGGAUUCAGCGAGUCAUAUCCUUAACCGAAAGGUUUGGGUAAUCUUUUGAAAGUCCGACGUGAUGGGAUUGAUCAUUGCAAUUAUUGAUCAUGAACGAGGAAUUCCUAGUAAGCGCGAGUCAUCAGCUCGCGUUGAUUACGUCCCUGCCCUUUGUACACACCGCCCGUCGCUACUACCGAUUGAAUGGUUUAGUGAGAUCUUCGGAUUGGCGCCUACGCGGCUUCUCUGAGGCCACGCUGGAUGCCGAAAAGUUGCUCAAACUGUAUCAUUUAGAGGAAGUAAAAGUCGUAACA
rnacentral:rRNA from 1 species